AACGCGAAGAACCUUACCUGGGCUCGAAAUGUAGAGGGCGACAACAGAAAUGGUGUUUCUCGAAAGGGCCUCUAUAUAGGUGCUGCAUGGCUGUCGUCAGCUCGUGCCGUGAGGUGUUUGGUUAAGUCCAGCAACGAGCGCAACCCUUAUCGUUAGUUGCCAGCGCGUCAAGGCGGGAACUCUAACGAGACUGCCUGGGUUAACCAGGAGGAAGGUGAGGAUGACGUCAAGUCCGCAUGGCCUUUAUGUCCAGGGCUACACACGUGCUACAAUGGUCGGUACAGAAGGCAGCGAAACCGUAAGGUGAAGCAAAUCCCGAAAAACCGAUCUCAGUUCAGAUUGUAGACUGCAACUCGUCUACAUGAAGUUGGAAUUGCUAGUAAUGGCGUGUCAGCAACAACGCCGUGAAUACGUUCCCGGGCCUUGUACACACCGCGUGUCU
rnacentral:rRNA from 1 species